UACGGAGGGGGCGAGCGUUGUUCGGAUUUACUGGGCGUAAAGCGUGUGUAGGUGGUUUCUCAAGUAAGAAGUGAAAGCCCAGGGCUUAACCCUGGAACUGCUUUUUAAACUGGGUCACUAGAGUGUAGGAGAGGCAAAUGGAAUUCCGAGUGUAGAGGUGAAAUUCGUAGAUAUUCGGAGGAACACCAAUGGCGAAAGCAAUUUGCUGGACUAAUACUGACACUGAGACACGAAAGCGUGGGUAGCAAACAGGAUUAGAUACCCGGGUAGUCCACGCCGUAAACGAUGUGUGCUAGUUAUCGGGCAUUUAUGCUCGGUGACGCCGCUAACGCAUUAAGCACACCGCCUGGGGAGUACGGUCGCAAGAUUAAAACUCAAAGGAAUUGACGGGGGCCCGCACAAGCGGUGGAGUAUGUUGUUUAAUUCGAAGCAACGCGAAGAACCUUACCAGCUCUUGACAUGUCCCGUAUGGUUUCUGGAGACAGAUUCCUUCAGUUCGGCUGGCGGGAACACAGGUGCUGCAUGGCUGUCGUCAGCUCGUGUCGUGAGAUGGUUGGGUUAAGUCCCGCAACGAGCGCAACCCUAUCUCUAGUUGCCAUCAUUCAGUUGGGCACUCUAACGAAACCGCGGUGACAAGCCGAAGGAAGGUGGGGACGACGUCAAG
rnacentral:rRNA from 1 species